GAUUCUGGCUCAGGAUGAACGCUAGCUACAGGCUUAACACAUGCAAGUCGAGGGGAAACGACAUCGAAAGCUUGCUUUUGGUGGGCGUCGACCGGCGCACGGGUGAGUAACGCGUAUCCAACCUGCCCACCACUUGGGGAUAACCUUGCGAAAGUAAGACUAAUACCCAAUGAUAUCUCUAGAAGACAUCUGAAAGAGAUUAAAGAUUUAUCGGUGAUGGAUGGGGAUGCGUCUGAUUAGCUUGUUGGCGGGGUAACGGCCCACCAAGGCGACGAUCAGUAGGGGUUCUGAGAGGAAGGUCCCCCACAUUGGAACUGAGACACGGUCCAAACUCCUACGGGAGGCGGCAGUGAGGAACAUUGGUCAAUGGGCGAGAGCCUGAACCAGCCAAGUAGCGUGCAGGAUGACGGCCCUAUGGGUUGUAAACUGCUUUUAUAAGGGAAUAAAGUGAGUCUCGUGAGACUUUUUGCAUGUACCUUAUGAAUAAGGACCGGCUAAUUCCGUGCCAGCAGCCGCGGUAAUACGGAAGGUCCGGGCGUUAUCCGGAUUUAUUGGGUUUAAAGGGAGCGUAGGCCGGAGAUUAAGCGUGUUGUGAAAUGUAGACGCUCAACGUCUGCACUGCAGCGCGAACUGGUUUCCUUGAGUACGCACAAAGGGGGCGGAAUUCGUGGUGUAGCGGUGAAAUGCUUAGAUAUCACGAAGAACUCCGAUUGCGAAGGCAGCUCACUGGAGCGCAACUGACGCUGAAGCUCGAAAGUGCGGGUAUCGAACAGGAUUAGAUACCCUGGUAGUCCGCACGGUAAACGAUGGAUGCCCGCUGUUGGUCUGAAUAGGUCAGCGGCCAAGCGAAAGCAUUAAGCAUCCCACCUGGGGAGUACGCCGGCAACGGUGCAACUCAAAUGAAUUGACGGA
rnacentral:rRNA from 2 species